UACAGAGGUGGCAAGCGUUUGUUCGGAAUUACUGGGCGUAAAGCGCGCGUAGGCGGCUUUGCAAGUCGGGUGUGAAAUCCCCAGGCUUAACCUGGGAACUGCAUUCGAGACUGCAUUGCUAGAGUAUGGGAGAGGGAAGUGGAAUUUCCGGUGUAGCGGUGAAAUGCGUAGAUAUCGGAAGGAACAUCAGUGGCGAAAGCGACUUCCUGGACCAAUACUGACGCUCAUGUGCGAAAGCGUGGGGAAGCAAACAGGG
rnacentral:rRNA from 1 species